ACUCCUGCGGGAGGCAGCAGUGGGGAAUAUUGGACAAUGGGCGCAAGCCUGAUCCAGCCAUGCCGCGUGAGUGAUGAAGGCCCUAGGGUUGUAAAGCUCUUUCACCGGUGAAGAUAAUGACGGUAACCGGAGAAGAAGCCCCGGCUAACUUCGUGCCAGCAGCCGCGGUAAUACGAAGGGGGCUAGCGUUGUUCGGAUUUACUGGGCGUAAAGCGCACGUAGGCGGACUAUUAAGUCAGGGGUGAAAUCCCGGGGCUCAACCCCGGAACUGCCUUUGAUACUGGUAGUCUUGAGUUCGAGAGAGGUGAGUGGAAUUCCGAGUGUAGAGGUGAAAUUCGUAGAUAUUCGGAGGAACACCAGUGGCGAAGGCGGCUCACUGGCUCGAUACUGACGCUGAGGUGCGAAAGCGUGGGGAGCAAACAGGAUUAGAAACCCGGGUAGUCCC
rnacentral:rRNA from 1 species